CGCGUAGGUGGUAGUGUAAGUCUGAGGUGGAAUCCUAUGGCUUAACCAUAGAACUGCCUUGGAUACUGUAUUACUUGAGUCAGUGAGGGGAGGGUAGAAUUCCUGGUGUAGCGGUGAAAUGCGUAGAUAUCAGGAGGAAGGCCUGUGGCGAAGGCGGCCCUCUGGUGCUGGACUGACACUGAGGCGCGAAAGCGUGGGGAGCAAACAGGGUUAGAUACCCUGGUAGUCCACGCCCUAAACGGUGGGCACUAGGUGUAGGGCUCGCAAGGGUUCUGUGCCGAAGGGAAACCAUUAAGUGCCCCGCCUGGGGAGUACGGCCGCAAGGUUGAA
rnacentral:rRNA from 1 species